UGGGGAAUAUUGCACAAUGGGGGAAACCCUGAUGCAGCGACGCCGCGUGAGCGAUGAAGUAUUUCGGUAUGUAAAGCUCUAUUCAGCAGGGAAGAAUUAAGACGGUACCUGACUAAGAAGCACCGGCUAAAUACGUGCC
rnacentral:rRNA from 1 species